AGAGUUUGAUCCUGGCUCAGGAUUAACGCUGGCGGCGUGCCUAACACAUGCAAGUCGAACGGGGUAGCAAUACCUAGUGGCAGACGGGUGAGUAACGCGUGGUCAACCUGCCCUUGAGUGGGGGAUAACUAGCCGAAAGGUUAGCUAAUACCGCAUAAAACAUAGCCGGGCAUCCGGUGAUGUUAAAAGGAGUAAUCCGC
rnacentral:rRNA from 1 species